UACGGGGGGGGCAAGCGUUGUUCGGAAUUACUGGGCGUAAAGGGUUCGUAGGUGGCCCGCUAAGUCAGACGUGAAAUCCCUCAGCUCAACUGGGGAACUGCGUCUGAGACUGGCGGGCUUGAGUGCAGGAGAGGAACGCGGAAUUCCAGGUGUAGCGGUGAAAUGCGUGGAUAUCUGGAGGAACACCGGUGGCGAAGGCGGCGUUCUGGACUGUUACUGACACUGAGGAGCGAAAGUGUGGGGAGCGAACAGG
rnacentral:rRNA from 1 species